AUUUUCUCCCAUUCUUCCUUGCAGCUUUUUUCAAGCUCUGUUGAGUUAGAUGAGGAGCAGUAGUGAACAGCAAUCUUCAAGUCUUUCCACAGAUUUUCAAUGGGAUUCAAGGCUGGGCUUUAGCUGGGCCACUCAAGGACUUUCACAUUCUUGUUCUGAAGUCAUUCCAGCGUUGCUUUGGCUGUGUGCUUGGGGUCAUUGUCCUGUUGGAAAGUCAUCUUCACCCCAGUCUAAGGUCGUUUGCACUCUGAAGCAUGUUCUCAUUAAGGAUUUGUCUUUAUUUGGCUUAGAGCUUUUCCCCACAAAAAAAAAUGUAUAAAUUGGUCGACCGAGAGUCGUCUGUUUUUUUUUACCAAUCUGUAAAUGGUCGAAAUGUUUAAACGUGUAUUUUUCCAUAUGUGUUUGAAUAAAAAUCAACUAUAUGCACUGAGCUUGUCUGAUGCUUUAAGCGCACCAUUUGAUGAAAUAAUUAAGACAAACAAAUGACUGAAGAGGGAGCCCGAUGGCCACACUGUGUUAAAAAGAAAUGAAAGCAAGUGCUUGUGUGACAGGCGCACGUUGUCUCUCUCUCUUCCCUACUGCAGUGAACAGGCCCCACACCACAGUAAGUGUUUAUCUCUGUCUCUCUCCUCCCUACUGCAGUGAACAGGCCCCACACCACAGUGUUUAUCUCUGUUGUCUCUCUCUCCUCCCUACUACAGUGAACAGGCCCCACACCACAGUGUUUAUCUCUGUUGUCUCUCUCUCCUCCCUACUACAGUGAACAGGCCCCACACCACAUGUUUAUCUCUCUCUCCUCCCUACUGCAGUGAACAGGCCCCACACCACAGUGUUUAUCUCUGUCUCCUCCCUACUGCAGUGAACAGGCCCCACACCACAGUGUUUAUCUCUGUCUCCUCCCUACUGCAGUGAACAGGCCCCACACCACAGUGUUUAUCUCCGCUGUCCAUGCUGAAGCUGCACCAUAAUUACACCCAUUGUUGUUUCUUACUUGUUUCUCUGACUCAAAAAGUCUGUUACCAAAAUACAUAAUUUGUUUCGGAA
ensembl:lncRNA